rnacentral:rRNA from 1 species
GAAGUUGGAGUCGCUAGUAAUCGCAGAUCAGCAACGCUGCGGUGAAUACGUUCCCGGGCCUUGUACACAUCGCCCGUCACGUCAUGAAAGUCGGUAACACCCGAAGCCGGUGGCCUAACCCCUCGUGGGAGGGAGCCGUCGAAGGUGGGAUCGGCGAUUGGGACGAAGUCGUAACAAGGUAGCCGUACCGGAAGGUGCGGCUGGAUCACCUCCUUU